rnacentral:tRNA from 1 species
AAGGGAGACCUAAUUCGGGUAGGAGACGAAAAAAAAGUAGUCCCUACCAAGAAUCAAUCCCAAAAGGUCGGAGCGAGGCGAAAUUGGCUUUCAAACUAGGUUCUGGGUUCACACAAGACCUGAAUCAGGAACAAGGGCUAUUAGCUCAGGUGGUUAGAGCGCACCCCUGAUAAGGGUGAGGUCCCUGGUUCGAGUCCAGGAUGGCCCACCUGUACAGGUGGCAAAAACAAAGAAAAGAAGCUCCGAAUCAGCACCUUAUCUUAUUUAUAUAGUAGGAGAGAAUGCUGGCUCUGAGUAAAGAGUCCAGAGGAACCUUGAAAACUGCAUAGAGCUAGGUGAAAAAGCCAAAAAAGAAGACCGCAA